UAUCUUUCUCUCUCCUCCUCUCCCUCUCAAAUUCGUCUCUCUCUCUCUCUCUCUCUCUCUCUAAGGAAACCAAGGGAUUUUUGGGCCUAGAGUUGAACCAAAGAAGAUUUUCAAGAGUUUUCAUCACCAAAGGAAAGAUUGAGUGGAACUAGCGGCAAGAUCGGAUGUGGAAGCUUGGAAGAUAGUCAAGGCUAGGUCAACGAGAAGCGAUCAGUAGAAUUGAUAUCCAAUAGGCGACGUUAGAAACAGUGCUGGGUAGAUAAAGACUACCGGUGAUAUUAGUUUGAACUCAAGGAGUGAAGAAGUUGUUGACACUUCCAUCCUUACCGUAUAAUUCUAAGGCAUGGAUAAUUUUACGGUUUGUAAAUGUAAUUGCUCCUAAACUGUGGUUGAUGUCAGUACCUCAUUUCUCUCCGCUUUGUUUAUGUAUGCCACAAUAUGGAUUUGUUUUACUAUGGUGUUGUAAAAUCCCCAUCAACUUUCUUAAAAUCUAAUUUCCUUCAAAU